rnacentral:lncRNA from 1 species
UCGUAGGCUGUCUAGACCAGGUCAAGAAGAAACUUAGCAGCAACCUAUUACCCCAAUCAAUUUCAAGUACUAAAGAAAAAAGUCAUCCCCUCUUCCAUCCUCUUUCCAAUAUCUAUACCUGUUGUUCAUCAUCUCCUCGUCAAAAUUUAUGGCUACAUAACAGAACCCAUAAAAAUUUUCCAAAAAAGACCCAAUUCAUGGAAAUAAAGAAACCCUAACCCCUAUUUUUCUGUUUGUAUUUAUGUAAGUAUAUAUAAAUAUUCUCCUGUUUCCUUGAGUUGGAAUUAUCUUGGGCGAGAUCGUUGCAGAUCUGGGCUUGGUUCGAAGUCGGGUAAGGUUGAUUUUGGGAAAUUAAUAUUUUGUUGAUUCAUCAAGAACUUCUGAUGGGUUUCUUUUCAAAAUUUGUAUUUUAUUUAUUUAUUUAUUAUUUUUUUGUUUGUAGCUACUUUUUUCAGAUUUAGUUGAUUAAUGUUGUUUGAUUUUGGGGUUUUGAAUUUCUGGACUUGCUGGUCAAUUGUUUGUUUAACUCUUUUUUUUUCUUUCUUUUAUGUUUUUUAGAACUGAAAAUUUUGGUGUUUUUGGCUUUUUUAUUUUUUUUAACAAAAACUAAUUUUCCCCCCAAUUACGUUUAUCUGUAUAUAUACCUGGAUAAACCGCGUGUUGAUUAUGUAAAUCCGUGUGUUCCUGUCGAUUUUUAAAGGUUGAAAUUGAUUUUGGGUUUAGUUACUGCAAGUUUGGUUUGAUAUUUUUGUUUCGUUUUUAAACAACCCAUUUGAAACAAAUUUACCUAGCUAAGAUCAAACGUACAAAAUACAGAGUGUGAAUUUUAAUAUUCGUGACACCUUUGAGGAUGUCUUACACUCUCGUGUUUGCUUUAGAGGGUGAAAUUAAACAUACAUUUUUCCUUUGCAGAUCUGGUUCUUAGCUUUUUGCUUGUCUGGUUUGCACCACUUGAUAAUGUUGUAAAUUUUAACAUAACAGUUGUCUUCUAUAUGGCUACAAAUGGGAGUUUUACAUUUGGAAAAUGUUUGAUUUUGACAAUUGGGUAAUACCAUGAUUGUCAGUGUCUAGGAUUGGGUAAUGAUGAGAUUUGAGUUUUGACAGGUAUGUAAUAAAAGAAGUGUUAGCAUUUAGGCAUGGAAAAUGCCUAGGGUUUCAAUUUGACAAAUGUUAAUGAUAUAACUGCGGUGUUCUACUUUUGUGAGCAUAGUUUAACAAUGUGCUAAUUGGUUAUUGUGACAUUCUGACUUCGUGAGGUGAGGCUUAAGCCUGGAGGCGGAUUGAGGCGUAAGCCUCACCUUUAACCAAAAGGAAGAUAAAAAUAAAAGUAGAAUUGGAUAAAUUACAGAAAAAAAAAAAAACCAAAGGGAAAGAAGAUGAAUUGCAGAAAUGAAAAGUAAAAUCACCUGCUGGAUUUUGAGACUUCGCCGGUUACUGGAACUGUAGGAAAAACUUCUUUAUGUUAUUGGGAAGUGUUGGAGGCAAGGAGCAGAGAAGGUUUUUUAUUGUUUUUGUCUUGGGUUUUAAUGUAAUCUUACGGUAGGUUUUGUCAAACAAGAAAAGCAAUUGUGGGCCCACAAUAAAAACCCACUAAAAUUGACG